ACGAACUCUGGUAUUGAUUGGUGCUUGCAUCAUGAUUUACAUUUGAGUGAGUGGCGAACUGGUGAGUAACACGUGGGAAACCUGCCCAGAAGCGGGGGAUAACACCUGGAAACAGAUGCUAAUACCGCAUAACAACUUGGACCGCAUGGUCCGAGCUUGAAAGAUGGCUUCGGCUAUCACUUUUGGAUGGUCCCGCGGCGUAUUAGCUAGAUGGUGGGGUAACGGCUCACCAUGGCAAUGAUACGUAGCCGACCUGAGAGGGUAAUCGGCCACAUUGGGACUGAGACACGGCCCAAACUCCUACGGGAGGCAGCAGUAGGGAAUCUUCCACAAUGGACGAAAGUCUGAUGGAGCAACGCCGCGUGAGUGAAGAAGGGUUUCGGCUCGUAAAACUCUGUUGUUAAAGAAGAACAUAUCUGAGAGUAACUGUUCAGGUAUUGACGGUAUUUAACCAGAAAGCCACGGCUAACUACGUGCCAGCAGCCGCGGUAAUACGUAGGUGGCAAGCGUUGUCCCGGAUUUAUUGGCCGUAAAGCGAGCGCAGGCGGUUUUUUAAGUCUGAU
rnacentral:rRNA from 2 species